rnacentral:tRNA from 1 species
GUCUUUAUAGUUUAACCAAAACCCUAGACUGUGACUCUAGCAAUAGAACACGACUUCUUAAAGACC